rnacentral:rRNA from 1 species
GAUGAACGCUGGCGGCGUGCCUAAUACAUGCAAGUCGAGCGAACGGACGAGAAGCUUGCUUCUCUGAUGUUAGCGGCGGACGGGUGAGUAACACGUGGAUAACCUACCUAUAAGACUGGGAUAACUUCGGGAAACCGGAGCUAAUACCGGAUAAUAUUUUGAACCGCAUGGUUCAAAAGUGAAAGACGGUCUUGCUGUCACUUAUAGAUGGAUCCGCGCUGCAUUAGCUAGUUGGUAAGGUAACGGCUUACCAAGGCAACGAUGCAUAGCCGACCUGAGAGGGUGAUCGGCCACACUGGAACUGAGACACGGUCCAGACUCCUACGGGAGGCAGCAGUAGGGAAUCUUCCGCAAUGGGCGAAAGCCUGACGGAGCAACGCCGCGUGAGUGAUGAAGGUCUUCGGAUCGUAAAACUCUGUUAUUAGGGAAGAACAGAUGUGUAAGUAACUGUGCACAGCGUGACGGUACCUAAUCAGAAAGCCACGGCUAACUACGUG